CUCCUAUUAACGUUUUAGGAAGGUGUUAGGAACCUAAAACGUCCGCUAACUUGCGGUUAUCCGGACUAUUUGAAAACAUCUUUUGAUUAACUUCUGAAAAGAUUAAUUUGUUGAAAUAGUGAUUUGAUUUUUGUUUUUAAAAAAAAAGACUUGUGUAAAAUAGAUUUAGGCGACUCAAUAGGGAUUUUAACAAAGUCUCAACAAAACUAAUAAACAAAUAAACACAUAAAAGGGGAAGGGAGGAGAAAGUAAAGGAUUUAGGCCAUUGAGCCCAAAUCAACAAGACCUGUCCUAGUCUAGUUGAGAUUCCGACCCAUUUCACCUGUCCUAAACUAUUUUUUGAGCCUUUGGCUCGAGUUUAGAUCCACCUAUAUUAAAUACAACUUUGGCUUCGAGGCCGAAAUGAAUGAAUAAAUAAAUGACUAAAUGAAUGAAUAAAAAGAAGACUAAUAAAAAUUGAGACUUUUCAAGUCUCUUAAUGACCUCAUCAAUGGGUUUUGACCCAUUUUCCUUCUUCGUCUAUCCUCUAGCACCCGCAUGCCAUGUAGUGGACCUCGGGUUUAAACUUCAAACUUGACUCGAAGGGGUAGACCUCAUUGGCCCAUUACGAAAUGCAAGAGGAGAGGAAUCCAUUUGGACUUGAGACAUUUUUUUUGCAUGCAAAGAAAAGAUAAAGAAAUUAAUAUACGUUCAAGGCAUAAAAGUGACAUAUUUCAAAGCAAAAGAAAAUAUCAAGAACCAAUUUUGAAUGACAAUGAUAAGCACACUUGCACAAGAAUGAGAGUCAACAAAUAAAAUGCAAAGCAAAGACACCCACUUACAUGCCUCAUGAUUUAUGUUCAUACAAGAAUGAAUAAAGGUAAAAGGAAGAAGGUCAUAUUCAAUGAAUUAAUGCAAAAAAAAACAACGUAAGCUUGCGAAAGUAAAGGGAUGAGGCAACAAGGAAAAUAUUCAUGACUUCUAAAAUUGAACAAACAUAGAUACCAAUCCAUACAACCAAAGAAAAUAAAGGUUAACUUUUCAAGCAAGAGAAUCUUUAAAUUUCAAUUAAAGUGACAUUAAUGAAAAUUCAUACAUCUAAAUUACAAUCAAAAUUUUAUGAAAAAAACGUGUAAUGACCUAUGGUUUAUUUUUCUAAGACAUCGUUGAUUCUCCUUUGAUAUUAUGAAUCAAUGAGAGACACGAAUCAAGUCUUUACACUCACAAAGAGCACAUAUAAUAAUCCAAAGGGCGUAAUAAAAUUAGAUAAAGUUUAGCAUUUCUAAAAGUGAAAUAUUGUUUCACAAUCAUACUAUGCAUGACUCGAAAAUAUCUAAAUAAUUCUAUUUAGCCACAAAAAUUCAAACUUUCUCAUCAUUUUGACAAGUUUGAAAACAUGCGAAAAAGAGGAAUGAACAUCGUGGAUGAAAAAUAAAGCUAGCACUUCAUCUCUUCUAUGAAGAUUUUGGAGAUCCCUUAAAAUAAUUAACAAGUAAAUGAAAAAUUCUUGAUUUAAUCAAUUACUAUUUUUAUUAAGGCGAAACAAACAAUAGUAACUAUUUUUUCAAAAUAAAAGAAACAACUUUACAGCUAAAACAAACAUAUCCUCCAACAAUAAAUUUAAACAAGACAUGAGUUUGUCUUUUGAGNNNNNNNNNNNNNNNNNNNNNNNNNNNNNNNNNNNNNNNNNNNNNNNNNNNNNNNNNNNNNNNNNNNNNNNNNNNNNNNNNNNNNNNNNNNNNNNNNNNNNNNNNNNNNNNNNNNNNNNNNNNNNNNNNNNNNNNNNNNNNNNUAAACAAGACAUGAUUAUGUUUUUCAAGCAAAGAUCUAAACUUUAUCCAAAAUAAUCAAAGAAUAAGGUGAAAAGGCGAAACAUUCAACAUUAACUAUUCUUUUCAACAUAAAGAAAAUAACUUUACAUGCUAAAAAUAAACAUAUUCAACAAUAAUGAGUUUAAACAAGACAUGAUUAUAUUUUUCAAGCAAAGAUCUAAACUUUAUCCAAAAUAAUCAAAGAAUAAGGAGAAAAGGCGAAACAUUCAACAUUAACUAUUCUUUUCAACAAAAAAAAAAUAACUUUACAUGCAAAAAUCAAAUAUAUCCAACAACAAUGAGUUUAAACAAAGCAUAAAUACAUAUUUUAAGCAAAGAUUGAAACUUUAUCCAAAAUAAUCAAAGAAUAAAGUAAAAAAAAAAAAAGACACAUACAACUAUUGUUAGCUCAUUUUUAUAUCAUGAACAUGAAAAUAAUUAGAAUAUCGAUACCACAACGUCCUAGGGCCUUUAAGGCCAUCUACAACAUAAAAUUCCAGCAAACAAAAUUAUAUCUACGAACUAUGAAGAAGAAAAAAGAUGAAGAAGAAAACGAUAAUAAAAACUAAAAAAAAAUGUUUGUUUACCUUUUUGGGGGCAGCAAAACGAGACUACGAGUUUCGUCGGAAUCAACCACCACUAAAAAAAUGUCGUUGGCAACUUGAAAUUUUUUAUUAGCUGACCAACUCUAUAAAACAAAAAUUUUUACUAAAUAAAAAUAACUAUUUUUCUCUUUUUACCUUUCUAGCAUUUUUUUCCUUACUUUUUAACCAAAGUAGUGGUAGUAUUUAUAGGAGAGAAUGAGAUUUAUUUUUUCCACCAAUGUGGGAGAAAAGUAUUUAUUUAAAAGGAUGAGGAUUUAUUUCUUGUCCUCCACCAAUGUGGGAGAAAAAGCAAAUAAAGGUGUUUUUGAAAUUUUAAAAUUGAAGAUAAGGUGAGGUGGAAGAUAAUGUGGGGAAAAAUUGUACAAUGUAGUACAACUUUUGAAUUUCAAAAUUGGGAAAAGACAAAAUUUGGGGGAAAUAGUACAAUGUAGUACAAUUUGAAAUUAUUUUUUUGUGGAAUUAGGUAGAAGUUAUGAGAGUUUUGGAGAAUUUUGGGGUUAUUUAAAAUAUAACCUCAAUUGAGAUUUAAAAUUUAGUCAUAUUUAUUUAAUUUUGACCAAAUUACAAAUUAAUUGACGGAUUGCAUUACAAUUAUGGCCAAUUUGAUUUCAAUUAUGGCCAAAUCUACUUGAUUGACUAAAUUAAAUUGAACUUCGAUGCGAAUUAAUACUUUCUUUAAUCCCGGGCUUCUUGAUUUUAUAAAAUCAAACACAUAUUUAUCCGAAUAAAUUAUUUUUUGAGAGUAGAUUAUAUUUAAAUCAAAACUUUAAUUAUUUGAAUCUAUAAACCUUGAUUAAAAUCCGAUAUUUUAAAAAAUAAAUAUUUAAGUAAUAAAAUUAUAAAAUCUCGUAUAAUUGAAUACGAUAAAUUAUAAUCACUACUUAAAAUGAUAAAAUUAAGUACAAAUAUAUUUAAUAAAUUUUUAUUCGGAUGAAAUAAAUAUUUUAAUUUUAUUAAAAAUCAAAGAAACUCAGGAUUAAAUUUAGUCGUAGAGGGAAAAAAUUAGGUGUCAACUAUUGUCCCUCCCUUUGGGUAGGGUGGAUGCAAGUAACCCUGGGCAAAGGGAGGUUGGCGUUCCUAAUUUUUGUCCGGCCAUAGAUUCAUACCUGAAUAAGUUACGACCGGACCUCGGUAUUAGGUUUCCUACAUAUCUCAGGUUACAUGAGAAUUCAGGCCAUUUGUAGUUAGACUCACCCACUAUUACGGUUUUAGAGUUUUUGGUUAAACCGAGAAGCUGGGGAAUAAACGGAUUUAGGGGAGGUUGGAAUGCAGUUGAGUUUUCCACGUAGAACCCAACCUACAUAUCUCGAAGACUCAGGGAAUCAGACUGCUUGUAGUUUGACUCAAUCGGUAGAAAAGAUAGCCUUUUAUUUCAAACGAUCUUUGGCUCAGUCUGAGUGACAAGUUGAUUGAGUUGCAGAAAAAAGGAUUGUAACAUCUUAACCAUGAACGUGGAGCUCUUCACAUCCAUAGGUAAGAAUUUACCUGGACAUAAUUUGCAAAACUCUAGGUGUGUUGUCACUCGUAUUUGAAAGAAAGAGAACUUUACCCUCGGUAUGAGUUUACGAAUAUCCCAAAGGUGAAGCUGAAACCAGAAUAUCCCAGAAUUCCCACAUGCCUUCUAAUAGGGGUAUGGUUGGAUGGUGGUUGCGAUCAUCCUUUAGCUCGCAUCCAAAGAGUUUGACGUCCCUCUUUAGACUAUGUCCCAUUUUGCUGCUAAGAAAGAAUUCCAUGUUGUGCUGCGUCCUUUUUGGAGUCGUCCGCACCUGUGGUUUUAAUUUAAGAUUUUCAUCCGCUCAGAUUCUCUCGACAAUAUCUCAAGCAAAAAGUGUUAGUGCUAAACAUAACUCACAAAAGAGGUAUGUAGUCUUUUACCAUAUCUCUACGUGAGUUGUGGUCUGAAAAGCGGAGUCAUAUCUUCAUGUACCUGUUUGGAAUGAAAUAACUGGCAACAACAAACACAACAACCCUCUUGGUUGUUGUAUAAUUAUGAUAUUUGUUGGUUGAAUAUGUCUUCAAAGUGGGGUGGCUCUUUUGGACACCGGCGAUACUUUAUGCGGAACGGUCCCUACAACCGUGUGAUCUUGUGUUGGUGUGGCAACCCUUUUGGUUACCUAUAUCACUUGUUGUAUGUGGAAAGAUAACCUCUUCGAUUAUAACCGAUGAUCAAUUUAUAAAUUUUUCUUAAAUUAUAAAUCUUUGGAUAAUCUUGCAUAUUAUAUGAUGUUGGAUACAAGGCGACUUGCAGAUAUCCUUUGAAUUUCUAGGUUUAAGGUAAUCCUGCACAUUAUCCGACAUUGGAUAAGAUAUGACUUAUAGAUAUCCCUCGAAUCGCUAGCUUUCAGGUGUUUCUGCACAUCAUCCGACCUUGGAUACAAUAUGAGUUAUAGAUAAUCUCUCAAAUUAUUAGUCUUUGGGUAAUCCUGCACAUAAUCGAUCUUGGAUAUGACGCGGCUUAUAGAGAACCCUUAGACGUAUCAAUUUGAUAAUCUUGUAUAUUCUCCGGUAAGGAUUUAGUUGCGACUUAUGGAUAACCUUUGAACUAUCGAUUUUUAGGUGAUCUUGCACACUAUCCGGUUAGGAUUUUGUUGAGAUUACGGAUGAACUAUAGGAUAUCAACUUAUAGGUGAUCUUGCACACUAUCCUAUUUCAAAUAAUAUGACUUAUAGAUGACCCUCAAAUUGUCAAUUUCUAGAAAAUCUUAUAUAUCAUUCAUCUUUAGAUAGCGACUUAAAGGCGGCUCUUCAAAUCGUGUGCUCUCGAUACAUUCAGAUGCUGAUUCAUAAAAUGAUGAGAUAUCCUUAACGCUAGCAUUUGUGUCUUGCGUGUCAACAGAUAUAAAAUGAUGAUGAUAUCUUCGACGCCAGUGUUUUGUCUUGCAUGUCAACAGAUAUAUUGAAUGUUGAUGAUAUCCUCGACGCCAGUGUUAUGUCUAGCGCAUCAACAAAUAUUGAAUAAUGAUGAUAUCCUCGAUACCAGUGUUGUGUCUUGCGGGUCAACAGAUAUAUUGCUAAUGAUAUCCUCAAUGCCAGCAUUGUGUCUCACGUGUCAACAGAUAUAUGAAUGUUGAUGAUAUCCUCGACGCCAGCAUUGUGUCUCAUAUGUCAACAGAUAUAUGAAUGUUGAUGAUAUCCUCGACGCCAGUGUUGUGUCUCACGUGUCAACAGAUAUAUGAAUAGUCUUCUUUGGAGAUGGUAUAAGAUAACCCUCUUGGCAAUGAUAUGCAAUGGCCUUUGCGGCAAUGAUAUGCAAUGGCCCUUACGGCAAUAAUAUGCAAUGGCCCUUUCGGCAAUGAUAUGUAAUGGCCCUUUCGGCAAUGGCCCUUUCGGCAAUGAUAUGCAAUGGCCCUUUCGGAAAUGAUAUGCAAUGGCCCUUGCGGAAAUGAUAUGCAAUGGCCCUUGCGGCAAUGAUAUGCAAUAGCCUUGCAGCAAUGAUAUGCAAUGGCCUUUGCAGCAAUGAUAUGCAAUGGCCCUCUUGGCAAAUUUUAAAGUAAUUUUACCCGACUUCAUUUGUCAGCGCCUUGCUUUUUACAUGUACCUGUACUCAAGGUAGACGAUUAGUAGACAAAAGUCGCUUUUACUAGCGACUAUUUUUAGGUAACUUCUAAAUACAAUGUUUGUAAAGAAGAAAAGGCGCUUUUGUUUGUCGCCCAUGAUCUCAAGAAAUGAGAUGGACAAAUCAGAAGGUCCUCAAUAAAUGGGUAUUAAACCUAUUUUUAGGGCUACCCUAAACUACCGUUCUUGGGCAUUAAUGCUAUGUUGUGGCUCCCAAUUUGCUCGGGGAUUUUUUAAGGAGACCCUCACUUUCGUGUAUUAAUCCCUGCAUCCAUAGAAAGAUGAUUAGUUUGAAUGAAAUUACUCUGUGUUGACCUUCUUCGAUCCUUGAUUUGCUGUUUUCCAUCUCUUGGGUAUUCCGCCAUGUCGGUACUUCCAUCCCUGGUGAUGUCUAGGCAAGUGCUAAUAAGUGAGAUGUAAGAUUUUUUUGAAAAUAGUCUUAAGUUAUAGAAAAUAUUUCGAAAGCUUCUGUAAAAGAACGUCUUCCUCCUGGUUUUGACUCUAUCUGACGGAUGAUUUCCAAAGCUCAUGAUCAUUUUUGGAGGUUUUCUUCAAGUAGUUCUAUCAUAGCAAGAAUUGAGCUUGUCUAGACUUUGUCGUAGAUGACUACUUUAAAAGCUUGGCCUUAAUCUUUGGUGCUGGGGGAAUUUGGAAUAUGUUCCAGCAUCUAGUGGAAAUUUUGAGGUCUUUCCUCUAUAUUUCUGCCCCAGUUUAGAGUUGUUUGAGAUGAUACCAACUCGAGUGAAUCUGAAGUCUUUGCUGAUCUUUAUUCUCUUUGUUGGACGUCGAUCUUCUCUUGUGAAUUUUUGAGAUUCCUUCUCAAAAAUUUUGUCCUAGUUUCUAUUUCCUGGGGUUAUAUGACCCGAGUCGUUGGGGCACCUACGUAUCCCGUUGAAGCAGGAAUCAGGUCAAACGUAGUACAAAACUACGCUAAGGAUAUUUAGAAAAAUCUAAUAGGUUGACCGAAGCCAACAUAGGCCGCCUGCGUAGCUGAUUCUUGAGAAUUCAGGUCAUCACGUAGUUCAUACAUAAAAGGAAAGGAUAAAUUUUCCUAAGGGAUUGAUCGAAGCCGACAUAGGCCGCCUACGUAUCUCAUUCUUGAGAAUUCAGGUCAAACGUAGUUCGUACAUAAAAGGAAAUGAUAAAUUUUCCUAAGGGAUUGACCGAAGACGACAUAGGCCGCCUACGUAUCCUUUUUCGGGAAUUCAGGUCAAACGUAGUUCGUACAUAAAAGGAAAUGAUAAAUUUUCCUAAGGGAUUGACCGAAGCCGACAUAGGCCGCCUACGUAUCCCUUUUUGGGAAUUCAAUUCAAACGUAGUUCUUACAUAAAAGGAAAUGAUAAAUUUUCCUAAGGGUUGACCGAAGCCGACAUAGACCACCUACGUAUCCCUUUUAUGGAAUUCAGGUCAAACGUAGUUCGUACAUAAACUCAUAAUGGCCCUAAAAAUACUCUUACCCAUCUUACUAGGAUAUAAAUAAGUACUUCUACGAAUGACAUGACAUUUGCAUUGUGUUUGUCUUGAUAGAACAAAGGAUCAAAUGUCUGUUUUGCGAAAAUUUUGACUUUUGAAGAGAGUCACCACUUAAUUUUGAAAUUGAAUUCAGAAACCUUUAGAGAGUUACUUCAAACGAUUCAAAACAGGAAAAUCAUUGUAAGUUAGAGAUUCUAGAUAAGCGAUUCCUAUUAACAUUAUAGGAAGGUGUUAGGCACCUAAAACGUCUGCUAACUUGCGGUUAUCCGGACUGUUUGAAAAUCGUCUUUUGAUUAACUUCGAAAAGAUUAAUUUGUUGAAAUAGUGAUUUGAUUUUUUCAAAAAAAAAAAAAGACGUGUAAAAUAGAUUUAGGCGACUUAGUAGGGAUUUUAACUAAAGUCUAAAUAAAACUAAUAAACAAAUAAAAGGGGAAGGGAGGAGAAAGUAAAGGAUUUAGGCCAUUAGGCCCAAAUCAACGAGACCUGUCCUAGUCUAGUUGGGCUUCCAGCCCAUUUCACCUGUCCUAAAUUAUUUUUUGAGCCUUUGGCUCGAGUUUUGCUCCACCUGUAUUAAAUACAACUUUGGCUUUGAGGCCGAAAUAAUGAAUAAAUAAAUGAAUAAAUGAAUAAAUAAAAAGAAGACAAUAAUAAAAAUUGAGACUUUUCAAGUCUUUUAGUGACCUCAUCAAUGGGUUUUGACCCAUUUUCCUUCUUUGUCUAUCUUCUAGCACCCGCACGCCAUGUAGAAAUUAAUAUAUGUUCAAGGCAUAAAAGUGACAUAUUUCAAAGUAAAAGAAACUAUCAAGAACCAAUUUUUGAAUGACAAUGAUAAGCACACUUGCACAAGAAUGAGAGUCAACAAAUAAAAAAUGCAAAGCAAAAGUUUCUGAAAUGUAAGUUUCUGAAUAAGCACACUUGCACAAGAAUAGAGAUUUAUUUCUUGUCAUCUACCAAUGUGGGAGAGAAAGCAUUUAGGGGGUUUUUGAAAUGUAAAAAUUAAAGAUAAGGUAAGGUGGAAGAUAAUGUGGGGGAAAAUAGUACAAUGUAGUACAAUCUUUGAAUUUCAAAAUUGGAAAAGGACAAAGUUGGGGGAAAUAGUACAAUUUGNNNNNNNNNNNNNNNNNNNNNNNNNNNNNNNNNNNNNNNNNNNNNNNNNNNNNNNNNNNNNNNNNNNNNNNNNNNNNNNNNNNNNNNNNNNNNNNNNNNNNNNNNNNNNNNNNNNNNNNNNNNNNNNNNNNNNNNNNNNNNNNNNNNNNNNNNNNNNNNNNNNNNNNNNNNNNNNNNNNNNNNNNNNNNNNNNNNNNNNNNNNNNNNNNNNNNNNUGCAAUUAUGACCAAUUUUCAAUUAUGGUCAAAUCUAAUAGAUUGGCUAAAUUAAAUUAAAAUUUGAUAAGAAUUAAUACCUUUUUUUUUUAAUCCCGAGCCUCUUGAUUUAAUAAAAUGAAUGCAUAUUUAUCCAAAUAAAUUAUUUUUGAGAAUAAAUUAUAUUUAAAUUAAGAUUUCACUUAAUUUAUUUUCAAGAUAAGCCUUAAUUAAAUCCGAUAUUUUGUAAAAUAAAUAUUUAAGUAACAAAUUAUAUAAUCUCGUAUAACUGAACACGAUAGUAUAUAAUCGCUACUUAAAAUGACAAAAUCACGUACGAAAAAUAUUUUAAGUUUUUUAUAAUUUGGAUGAAAUAAUUAUUUUGGUUUAUUAAAAACUAAAGAAACUCAAGAUUAAAUUUAGUCGUAGAGAACAAAAAUUAGGUGUCAACAGCUGCCCUCUCCCUUUGGGUAGGGUGGAAGUAAGUAACCCUGGGCAAAGGAAGGUUGACGUUCCUAAUUUUUGUCCGAUCAUAGAUUCGAAUCUGAAAGAGGUUGGUUUUCGCACGAGUUUCAUAGAGUCAUGGCCGGAUCUCGGUAUUAGGUUUCCUACAUAUCUCAGGUUACAUGAGAAUUCAAGCCACUUGUAGUUCAUAGAGCUUGAUUUAAAGCACGAUUUUCAAAAAAUUCACAAGUUAUCUCAGUUUUAGAGCGUUUGAUAAAACUGAGAAACUGGGGAAUAAAGGGAUUAGGGGGGAGGUUGGAAUACAGUCGAGUUUUCUACAUAGAUCCCAGCCUACAUAUCCCCAAGAUUUCAGGGAAUCAGACUACUUGUAGUUUGACUCAAUUGGUAGAAAACAUAGUCUUUUAUUUCAGACCAUCUUUGGCUCGGAAUGAGUGUCAAGUUGAUUGAGUUAUAUAAAAGAGGCUUGUAACCUCUUAACCAUGAAUGUGGGAUCCUUCACAUCCAUAGUCAAGAACUUACCUGGACAUAAUUUCCAAAACUCUAAGUGUGUUGCCACCCGAAUUUGAAAAAAAGAGAAGGUUACCCUCGGCGUGAGUUUAAAAAUAUCCAGAAGGUGAAGCUGAAACCAGAAUAUUCUGAAAUACCCACAUGUCUUCUAACAGGGGUGUGGUUGGAUGGUGGUGGUGAUCAUCCUUUAGCUCGCGUCCAAAGAGUUUGACGUUCCUCUUUAGACUAUGUUCCAUUUUGCUGCUAAGAAAGAGUUCCACGUUGUGUUACGUCCUACCUGAAGUCGUCCGCACUUGUGGUUUUUAUUUGAGAUUUUCAUCAUCUCGGAUGCUCUCAACAAUGCUUCAAGCAAAAAGUGUUAGUACUAAACAUAAUUCAUGAAAGAGGUAUGUACUCUUUACCAUAUCUCCACGUGAGUUGUGGCCUAAAAAGUGAAGUCAUCCUUUAUUGUACCUAUAUCACUUGUUGUAUGUGGCAUGAUAACCUCUCCGGUUGUUGCCGAUGAUCGAUUUAUAAAUUUUUCCUAAAUUGUCAAUCUUUAGAUGAUCUUGCGUAUUAUUUUAUGUUGGAUACGAGGUGACUUACAGACUUUUAGGUUAUCCUGUACGUCAUUCGACUUUGGAUAAGAUAUGACUUACAGAUAUCCCUCUAAUCGCCAGCUUUCAGGUGUUCCUGCACAUCAUCCGACCUUGGAUAAAAUAUGACUUAUAGAUAAUCCCUCAAAUUGAUCGUCUUUGAGUAAUUCUGCACAUAAUCGAUCUUGGAUAUGACGCGGCUUAUAGAGAACCCUUGGACGUAUCAAUUUGACAAUCUUGUAUAUCCUCCGAUAAGGAUUUAGUUGCGACUUACGGAUAACCUUUGAACUAUCAACUUUUGGGCGUCUUGCACACUAUCCGGAUAGGAUGUUAUUAUGGCUUACGGAUGACCUACAGGCUAUCAACUCAUAGGUGAUCUUGCACACUAUCUUAUUUCAAAUAAUAUGACUUAUAGAUGACCUUCAAAUUGUCAAUUGCUAGGAAAUCUUAUAUAUCAUUCAUCCUUAGAUAGCGACCUGAAGGCGUCCCUCCAAAUCGUGUGCUCUUAAUGUAUUCAAAUACUGAUUCAUGAAAAUAUGAUGAUAUCCUCAACGCCAGCAUUGUGUCUAGCGUGUCGAUAGAUAUAUUGAAUGUUGAUGAUAUCCUCGACGCCAGCGUUGUGUCUAGCGUGUUGAUAGAUAUAUUGAAUGUUGAUGAUAUCCUCGACACCAGCGUUGUGUCUAGCGCGUCAACAGAUAUUAAAUGUUGAUGAUAUCCUCGACGCUAGCGUUGUGUCUAGCGUGUCGACAGAUAUAUUGGAUACUGAUGAUACCUUCUACGCCAGCAUUGUGUCUAACGUGUUGACGAAUAUUGAAUGCUGAUGAUAUCCUCUAUGCCACGUUGUGUCUAGUGUGUCGUCAAAUAUUAAAUGAUGAUGAUAUCCUCGAUGCCAGCAUUGUGUCUAGCACGUCAACAAAUAUUGAAUGCUGAUGAUAUCCUCAAUGGCAGCAUUGUGUCUAGCGCCUUAAUAGAUAUUGAUGCAGAUGAUAUCCUCGAUGCCAGCAUUGUGUCUAGCGCAUCAACAGAUAUGUAAUGGCCUAUGCGGCAAUGAUAUAUGAUGGCCUUUGCAGAAAUGAUAUGCAAUGGCCAUUGUGGCAGUGAUAAAAUAAUUUUACCUGGCUUUAUUUGUCAGUGUCCUGCUUUUUACAUGUACCUGUACUCAAGGUAGACGAUUAGUACACACAAAGUCACUUUUACUAGCGACUAUUUUUAGGAAACUUCUAAAUGCGAUACGUGUAAAGAAGACAAAGUGCUUUUGGUUGUCGCCUACAAUCUCAAGAAAUGAGAUGGACAAAUCAAAAGGUCCUCAAUAAAUGGGCAUUAAACCUAUUUUUGGGGCUGCCCUAAAAUAUCAUUCUUGGGCAUUAAUGAUCUGUUGUGGCUCCCAAUUUGCUCGGGGAUUUUUGAAAGAGACUCUCAUUUUGCGUAUUGAUCCCUACAUCCAUAGAAAAAUGAUUAGUUGAAUGAGAUUACUCCAUGUUGACCUUCUUCGAUCCUUGAUUUGCUCCUUCCCAUCUCUUGGGCAUUCCACCAUAUUGAGACUUUCAUCCUAACACUCUAUCCCAAAUGAUGUCUAGGCAAGUACUAAGUAAGUGAGUCGUAAGAUUUUUGAAAAUAGUCUUAAAUUUUAAAAAUAAUUUUGAAAACUUCAGUAAAAUUUUAGAAAAUUUCUGCCAGUCAUGUCAUGUACUAGCUCAAUGAACGUCUUCCUCGCGGUUCUGACUAUAUCCGAUGGAUGGUUUCCAAAACUCAAGAUUAUUGUUGGAGGGUUUCUUCAAGUAGUUCUAUCAUAGCCAAAAAUUGAGUCUACCCAGACUUUGUUACAGUUGGUGAUUUCCAAAGCUUUAACCUCUGGUGCUGGGGAAUUUGGAAUAUGUCCCGGCAUUUGGUGGAAAUUUUGAGGUCUUCCUCAAAAUUUCUGCCCCAGUUUAAACUUGUUUGAGAUAAUACCAAUCUGAGUGGAUCUGAAGUCUUUGCUGAUCUUCAUUCUCUUUGUUGCAUGUCGAUCUUCUCUUGUGAAUUUUCAAGAUUUCUUCUUGAAAAUUCUGCCCCGAUUUCCAUUUCCUAAGGUUAUAUAACCGAGCCGUUGAGGCGCCCACAUAUCUAGUUGAAGUAGGAAUAAGGUCAAACGUAGUUCAAGCUAUGCUAGAGAUAUAGAAAAGAAAUUAAUGGGUUGACCAAAGCCGACAUAGGCCGCCUACGUAUCCCUUUUAUUGGGAAUUCAGGUCAUCACGUAGUUCAUACAUAGGGGGGAAAGGAUAAAUUUUCCUAAGGGGUUGACCGAAGCCAACAUAGGCCGCCUACGUAUCCCUUUCUUGGGAAUUCAGGUCAAACGUAGUUCAUGCAUAAAGAGAAAGGAUUCUAGGCAGUUACACACUAGAAAACAACAUUAUAACAAAGGUGAUUACAAACAAACUAAGAAAACAUAAAAACUAGAACGUUAUUCAAACAUAAUAUCUCUUUACCACAUCAGAAUUGAUUGGUUUGGUCCACUCUGUGCCAUCCAUCUCAAACAAAAUUAGAGCUCCUCCAGAUAGCACCUUGCUAACUAUGUAUGGCCCUUGCCAGUUUGGAACGAACUUGCCCUUGUACUCCUCUUGGUGAGGGAAUAUUCGUUUGAGAACCAGUUGCCCCACUUCAAAUGCUCGAGUUCUUACCUUCUUGUUAAAGGCACCAACCAUCCUGUGUUGAUACAGCUGACCAUGGCAUACAACGGCAAUUCUCUUUUCAUCAAUUAACAUGAAUUAUUUAUAGCGAGCACGGACCCAUUCUUCGUUACUCAGUCCAGCUUCCUGAAUAAUCCUUAGGGAAGGUAUUUCGACCUCAGCAGGUAUCACAGCUUCAUUCUCGUAAACUAGUAAAUAGGGAGUUGCUCCUGUAGAGGUUUGAACUGUUGUUCGAUACCCUAGCAAGGCGUAAGGUAACAUCUCAUGCCAUGAUCUAUCAUUUUUGACCAUCUUUCUUAAGAUCUUCUUAAUAUUCCUGUUAGCAGCUUCUAUGGCUCCAUUCAUUUGGGGACGGUACGCUGUCGAGUUGUGAUGCACAAUCUUGAACUGAUCACAAAUUUCUUUCAUCAAGUAACUGUUCAGGUUUGCCCCAUUAUCAGUAAUAAUUGAUUCUGGCACUCCAAAUCGACAAAUCAAGUUAUUCCUGACAAAAUCUACAACCACUUUCUUAGUGACGGCUCUGUAUGAAGUUGCUUCAACACACUUAGUGAAAUAAUCGAUGGCGACUAAAAUAAAUCUAUGUCCAUUCGAUGCCAAUGGCUCUAUUGGUCCGAUAACAUCCAUGCCCUAAGCUACGAAAGGCCGAGGAGAAUUCAUUGCACGAAUCUCGUGUGGAGGCAUUCGAAUCAGAUCUCCGUGUAUUUGGCAUUUUGGAUAUCUCUGCACAAACUUACUACAAUCAUUUUCCAUAGUCAUCCAGAAGUAACCGGUUCUCAGGAUCUUUCUGGCAAGGACAAACCCAUUCAUGUGGGCCCCAUAAACUCCAGUGUGUACCUCGUUUAUCAACUUAUUGGCUUCCGCCGCAUCGACGCAUAUUAGGAAUCCCAAUUCAGGAGUCCUCCUAUAAAGAAUUUCUCCACUUGGAAAGUAAUUCUUUGCCAAACGCCGGAUUGUCUUAUUUUGGUUGUUACUAGCCUCUUCAGGAUAUAUUCCAGAUUCCAAAUACCUCUUAAUGUCAUAGUACCAAGGCCUUACAUCAAGCUUCUCUUCCACGUGUAUGCAAUACGCGGGUUGCUCCUUCAGGCUUAUUUUCAAAGAAUCGAUGUAGCUCUGAUCCGGGUGCUGAAUCAAGGAAGAUAUCGUGGCCAAAGCGUCAGCAAAAUCGUUUUAUGUCCAUGGGAUAUGUCUGAAAUCAUCAUUUUUGAAUCUUCCGCAUAAUUCUUGCACCAGCUCCACAUAAGGAGUACUCUUGGAGUUUUUUACCGCCCAUUCUCCCCGUACCUGGUGAAUCAGCAAAUCUGAAUCUCCGUUGGCUAGCAAUUCACGAACACCCAUAUCAAGUGCCAAUUUGAGCCCCAAGAUACAAGCUUCAUAUUUAUCCAUGUUGUUGGUGCAUGGAAAAUGUAACUUAGCAGUUACCGAAUAAUGUCGGCCCGUUUCUGAUACCAAAACUGCUCCAAUUUCUGAACCUUUGAAGUUGACCGCCCCAUCAAAAAAUAGCCUCCAUCCGGGGUAGAUUUUUGUGAUAUCUUCUCCUACGAACAAAACUUCCUCGUUUGGAAAGUAUGUCUGAAUGGCUCGUAUUUCUCAUCAACUGGGUUUUUAGCCAAAUAAUCUGCUAAGGCUUGCCCCUUGAUUGCUUUUUGGGUUACAUACACAAUGUCAAACUCACUCAGCAACAUUUGCCACUUGGCUAGCUUUCCUGUAGGCAUGGCCUUCUGGAAUAUAUACUUUAAUCGAUCCAUUCUCGAGAUGAGGUAAGUUGUGUAGGAUGAUAGAUAAUGCCUCAACUUUUGUGCCGUCCAAGUCAAAGCACAACAUGUCCUUUCUAUAAGAGUUUAACGGGCUUCAUAUGGUGUGAACUUUUUACUCAAGUAGUAAAUGGCUUUCUCUUUCCUGCCGGUCUCAUCAUGUUGCCCGAGGACGCAUCCGAAAGCAUUUUCUGAGUCUAACAGGUAAAGCAAUAAUGGAAUUCCUUCUCUCGGUUGGACCAAAACUGGUGGUGCAGACAAGUAUUCCUUGAUGCGAUCAAAAGCUCUCUGACAUUCUUCUGUCCACUCAUUCAGUGCAUUUUUCUUCAACAUCUUGAGAAUUGGCUUGCAUAUGACUGUUGAUUGAGCGAUGAAUCUGCUAAUGUAAUUCAGAUGACCCAGGAAACUCAUAAUUUCUUUCUUGGUCCUCGGCGGUGGCAAGUCUUGAAUUGUCUUGAUUUUGGAUGGGUUUAGCUCGAUCACCCUUCUGCUGACUACGAACCCCACAACUUCCCUGAUGGCACGCCAAAAGCAUACUUAGCAGGAUUUAACUUCAAACUGUACCUUCUUAAUCUAUUGAAGAAUUUCUUCAGAUGAGUUAGAUGAUCCGAACUCUCGUGGGAUUUGAUAAUUACAUCAUCCACGUACGCUUCAAUCUCCUUAUGAAUCAUAUCAUGGAAAAUCGCCGUCAUGGCCCUCAUAUAUGUCGCACCUGCAUUUUUGAGACCAAACGGCAUUACCCUAUAAUGAUAAACACCCCAGGGCGUAAUAAAAGCCAUUUUUUCUGCAUCUUCCUCAUCCAUCAGUAUAUGAUGAUAGCCGGCGAAACAAUCAACGAAUGACUGCAUUUCAUAUUUUGCACAGUUAUCGAUGAGAAUGUGGAUGUUAGGCAAUGGAAAAUUAUCUUUAGGACUGGCUCUGUUCAAGUCUCUAUAGUCAACACAAAUUUGAAUCUUGCCAUCCUUCUUUGGUCAACCAUGUCGGAUAUUUUGUGACCUCGACAACCUUAGACCGAAUUUGUUUUGUCACUUCUUCCUUGAUCUUUAGACUUAAAUCUGACUUGAAUUUUCUCAUUUUUUGCUUGACUGGAUCAAACUCAGAAUUUAUCAACAAUUUAUGUGACACAAUGCUGGUGCUCAACCCUGGCAUAUCAUCAUAGGACCAAGCAAACACGUCGAUAUAAUCCUGUAAUAGGUGGAUGAGCUCUUCCCUUUGUGGCGCCGUGGGGUGGACAAUGAUACUGGUCUCUUUGAUUUCAUCGUGAUCUCCCAAGUUGACUGUUUCAUUUUUUUUCAGAUUGGGUUUUUCGCGAUUCUCAAAUUCCUCUAUAUCUUCAACUAACUGUUCCUCGUCAUUGUCCUUCCAACCAUCAUCGUCCCUUUCAUUUUGUUCGUUCAGGAUUUGACAUGACAUAACAUUGGUAGGUUUUAAGCUACUGUUACUGUAAUGGACAAACAAACUAAGUUAGAUGAUAAGAAAAUAACAAAACAUAUGAAUAGGGGCAUUUUCAAACUAAUAUAGUUUUCCAAAUAAAUUAAGGCCUUUUCAUUAAAAUUUGAGAAAUAAUUACAACACUAUGGCUUGUGACUUGCACAAAUACAAGCCCCCACCUUUUUUGAAAGCAGUAUGAUAUGAAAAUAAAGUUUUGAGAUAUAAAAGGUAGAUCGCGGGGCCUCCUCCAGAUCAUCACCGAUUUUAAAACUAUUAGUAAUUGGCCUUUCAUCUACCACGAUAGGCAACGAGUUAUGAGUGGAGUGGAGGUCCAAUUUUGCAAAUCCUCCCGUGGCGCAAUCUGCUUCACCCCGUUGGACUCUGGGAGAUCUUCUGGUACAGCAUUGCAUCCUUCAAACAAAUCUCCUAUCCCAUCCCCAAGACCAUCAUCAUCUGACAUCUCUCAUAUGGGAAAUGACUGGAACAGGAGUGGCAAAGGCCUAAACAGACUCUUUUCUGGAUCAUCGUCAACUCUAUCUCUUCUGGUAGGCUGAUACCCUAACCUGUGCUUAGAGCUUCUCUCUAGUAUCACAAUAGGCUCGAUAAUUCCUUAUAAAUUCUUGUCCAAGCCUCGACCAGGUUUGAACCUAUUUCUUAACAUCACAGUUGCAAUCAUUUUGUAGACAGAAGGCAUUGAUAUUUUGGGUAUCGAAUCUCUUUUCGCAGUGUUUACAAUUUCCACUGUAUAGAAACUGCUACCUUUUGCAACAUCUUCAAUCACCGGCACAUAACCAUUGGGACGGUCCGCUUGACUUCCUUCUCCUUGGAUGACUACUUCAUGAUCUUUCCAAAUGAACUUCAAUAAUUGAUGAAGUGGUGAUGAAAUUGCCAUUGCCCCGUGUAUCCAUGGUCUUCCCAAAAGCAGGUUGUAGCUAGGAUGGAUAUCCAUAACAUGAAACUUAGUCUUAAACUUAGCAGGCCCCAUUUGGAUGUGCAAAUCAAUCUCUCCUUUGGUAUAUCUCUGUCCUCCAUCGAAUUCUCUCAUAUUUAUGUGGCUUUGAUGAAUUUUCCCCAGAUCAUAGCCUAUUUGGACCAGCGUAGAGAGGGGAUAAAUAUUCAUACCAGAUCUAUCGUCUAUUAGUACCUGAUUAAUUGCAUAAUCACGACAAAUGACAGUGACAUGCAUGGCUUUGUUGGUCAUUGCUCCUUCAAACGGCAACUCUUCAUCACUGAAUGAUAUGCGAUGGUUCCCCACAAAGUUCCCUAUCAUCGCAGCCAAAUUCUCAACGCUCAUUCCUGCGGGAACAUAUGCUUCCUCUAAGACCUUCGAUAGAGCCUAUUGGUGGUGUUGCGAGCUGAAUAAUAGUGCCAAGACAGAGAUUUGGGCUGGCGUUUUCUCUAAGUGUUUGACAAUUGAGUAAUCCUUUGGUUGCGUACGCCUCCAAAAUUCCUCAACCUCUUCUUCAGUGAUUGGCCUUUUCUGUGAAUCUUUCUUGUUGGUCAAUUCCUCAGGGAUGUAAUAUCGUCCUGAUCGCAUCAUCCCCUAGGCAGCGGCGGUUUGCACAAUAAAUUCCUUCUUUGGAGGGGGAGUGUACACUUGAGUUAGUGCAAUCAUCACUAUAAAUGAGGCUUUCUCAUUGAUACUUAAGGCAGAUACAGCUUUCUCUAUCUUUCCUACCUCUUCCGCUCUUUUGCGCUUUUUGAAGUUCACCUGAGUAAUGGUCUUGCCAAAUGCCCAUUCGCCUUCUAUUUCACUCAUGUUAACUGUAGAUCCCCCAUGGUUGGGCAGUGGAUUACUGCUAAUAUUUGGAGUAGGUGCCUGGAGCGUGAUGACCUUUUGAUCAAUCAGAUCUUGGAUUCUUUAUUUCAAGAUAAGACAGUCCUCGGUACUAUGCCCUGCUGCCCCUGAAUGAUAGGCACAAUUUUGAUCAGGGUUGAGAGCUAGGAUUGAGAGGCUUUGGCUGUACUGGUUGCAAAUGACCAGUAUUCUUCAAUCUUUCAAAUAAUUGGGUGCGACUUUCAGCUAGUGGGGUGAAGUUUUGGGGAGGUUUCUUUUCGUGGUUUGGACGCUGGGGGUUAUACGGGCUUAGGUUUGUAGGAGGGGGAACUUGGUGGUAAUUUGGAGGUGUUUGGAAAUUUGUUCGGCUAUUUGGAGGAGUAGUUUGGAAAUGAAACUGAUAAUUUAGAGGUGGAACUGGGUAUUGGGGAAAGAUAUUUGGCUGUAGAGCUUGGUAUGAUGGUGGGAUGUUUGGGAGUGGAGUUUGGUAUUGGGUUUAGAUGUAGAAUGCGUGCGGAAGGUUAGGUGAUGGCAGGAAAGAUAAAACGUUUCUAGAAUUGAACCUUUGUUUCAAUUUUGUAACAGAAUUGGUAGAAACCCCACCUACCUCUUCCUUCUUCUUCUUAGAAAACAUGGCAGUUUCAGAAGAUGUUGGGGUUUUGGCAAUUUUUCCUGUCCGAAUACCUUUCUCUAAUGAUUCUCCUAUGUUUACCAAAUCUGCAAAGGUCACUCUGACAGCGGACACCAUCCUGGUAUAAUAUUAUCCUUCUUAAGCACAAGAGAACAUGGAUACCAUUUCCUCCUCGGACAUGGGGGGCUACAAUUUGGCAGCUUCUUUCCUCCAACGAAAAGCAUAAUCUUGAAAACUCUCAACGCUUUUUUGUUUAAUCCGAUCUAGUAAUAUCGAUCAGGGACUAUUUCAAUGUUGAAUGCGAACCGGUCAAGGAAACUCUUGGCCAAUGUCCUCCAACCAGUCCACCUUUUCGGCUCCUGAGAGAUGAACCACUCCAAGGCUUCACCAAUCAAACUUCGACUGAAUAGGCGCAUUAAUAACGCCUCAUUUUUCCCUAUCUCUACUAGUUGCUCGCAGUACCUUCUUAGAUGGGCCAUUAGAUUUCUGGUACCAUCAAACAUCUCAAACUUAGGGACCUUGUAUUCUUCUGGUAGGUCUACUCCUGGGUGAACACACAAAUCGUCAUACCCCAAACCGUCGUGGUCCUUGGCCCCGUGAGACUCUUUGUUCCUCAUGAUCUACUCUUGCAUGGCUAGUAAAUUCCUUUCAUACUGGGCCCUCCAUUCCUCCUCCUUCUCUUCGUAAUGGUCCAUCUCGGGGUUAGGAAGGGGUUCAUAAAUAUCAGGGGAUAUGAUGGCUUGAGGGGGAUUUGGAAGGAAGGCUUGAUUUUGCAGAUGGUGGGAAUUUGGUUGGUAAGUAGGGAGAACAUUUUGGAAAUUCAAAAGGUUAUGUGGGGAUUGUGAGUAGUUUGGCGAAAUAUGAGAGGGAUUUUGCGGAUUUGGAAAUGAAUUUGGUAUAUUCGAAGGUAGGUUUGCCAUAUUUUGUGUAUUUGGGAGUAAAUCUUGCGGAUUUGGGAAUGCGUUUUGUUGAUUUGAGAAUGUGUUUUGAGGAUUUGGGAAUGGAUUCGAAGACGGGUUCUGUGGGGUUGCGGAUGGAAUUUGUGGAUGGUAGGCGUCUGGAUUAUUUUCACGAUUAGCGUUUUGGACAAAUGAAGGAGUAGAGCCGGAUGAUAUGUUAGUUGGAUGGUCCCCGAGAAUAGGGGUACUGUGGGAAGGGAUUUGGAGUGGAGUCCCGUGUCCCCCCGGAGCAGGGGCAUUGACGGUGAUGGACAAGUUAGCCAAUUCUCGAGUGCGAUUUAUUUCCUCCUGAAGCAAUUCUAAUUUUCUUGUAAGUUCCGCAAUCAUCUCAUUCUGUUCCGCUAUCACAUUAUCCCGGAUAGCCAGUGAGUUUUCUUCGUCAUUUCCUGUCAUUUUUGAAUGAUGGUCCGAGGAUGGGAUUUUUUGUGUUUUCGAUUGGGUGAAGUAGGGAUGUUCUGCCAGUUUAUCAAUACGGAGUAAUUUCUGUUAUCUCAAAGUAAAACAACUCAAAGGUAAAUAUGUUAGUUUCUGUAUGUGAUAAGUAAUGCAAAAUAUUUGACAGGAAAUAAUCACGCAGAGUUGUUCGAGUCAUAGCUAAAUUCAUCUGUAGGUCAUAGUGUAUAAACUUGCCUUUGAUCUCAACCAACGCAUAUAAGCACAUAAAACAGUUAUAUCACACAAGACAUUAAAAUAACGCGUAUCGUAAUUGGGGUGACCCUUUUUGAGCCAAGGGUUCAAGCCUAAUGAUUUUUUGAAGAAAAUAUAUGCUUCCUCAAAGUCAAUCCAUUAACCCCUAACUCAUAUAGACGCAAAAAGAGGCAUAAAUGCCUACAAAAGAUAACGAAACAGGGAUACAAUUUUUAGGGAAAAGGGGAAAUACCAUGAAAGAAGAUAAGUUCCCGCACAGGGAAGAAUAGAAAAGCUAGCUACUGGAGCCUUGUUCGUCUGCUUUCGCCUUCUUUGCCUUGUUUACCUCAUGUGCUAUUUGGUGCCUAUUGAUGAUAAGGUGACUCCCGCAUAAUUGUGCCUUGCAGUCGUAAGUCAUUUCUCCUAUGCUGUCGAGUUGGGAGGCUAUGCUAUCAUCCAAAUCGAUUAGGCAUUGCCUGGCAUCAUCAGCAUCUUGCCUAGCUCUUUUCAACUCUUCCCUCAAUGUAUGUAUGAUCAAAGUGUCUUCCAUUUGCAUCUAUCGGUGCACAAUUUCACUUUUUUGGAACUCAUCUUGUAGCCUGUGAAGCCGAAUUUGAUGCUCGAAUUCUACAUCCACAACCCGAGUAGGCACAUUUGGUCCCAGAUUCAAUGCUCCGGCGAGGCUCUUUUUCAACCACUCUUUGUAAGUGUCGCUGACUUCAGGUUUAUACCCUAUACGGAAAGAGAAUUCUACCCACUUUUUCCUUCUCGGGAUGGUAGGGGCGGGUUCCCCUGAGACUCGGGAGCACUAAAAAAGGCCAUUCGCCCCCUCGAAUGAUGUAUUUCCCUAAACGAAGAUAGUUAAGGGACCAUUGGACAUCGCCAUCUCUUAAUUCUCCAAGAGUCUUAAACCAAAAUUUGUGGGAUGCUUUUCUUUUGAACUUAUGUAAAAAUAACCACAUGUCGUGCGAUUCUAGCAGAUUUCUCCUUGGUUUGUGAUCAGUUUAUGUCGUUCUAGGAUUUUUCACCAAAUGCAUCAUCAUCCACUAUUGUAAUAUAAGGUUGCAGCCUUGAAAGAAACGAUUCUCGACUUGGCAUCUUCCCAAAGCGCGAUAUAUGUCGGUGACAAUCAUGGGGGCUAAGUUGUGGAAUACUUUUUUAGAAUUGUAUUCCAUUCCAAAGAAGAGUGCAUGGGUCACUAUGACAACCCUCGGAUGAAUUGUGUCAUUUUCCCCUACGGGAACACCAUGGUUCUAAGUAGGCCUACCACGAAUCCAAAAGCUCUCGUUUCCUUCCAUUUUGCUUCCGACUUCAAUUUAUGCCCAAAUUUGUGAAAAGAGUUAAAUCUUAUGAACCGACGGUACAACUCAUGAAAAUUGAUAUUUGCUCCAUCCCGUUCUCCUAGCCCGGUGUCGUGAUCAAUUAAAAAUGCUUCCUUGAUCUUCUGACGAUCCCACACAUCCGGGACUAAAAUAUUCUUAUCGGUGUCUCCUUUAUCUUCAAACACAUUUCCGUACUCUCGUAGCAAAUCAAUACCUCUUCAAUGAUGGGGGUCAAUUCAACAUCCCCAAAGUGAAAUACCAUGUUCUGAUCAUCCCAAAAAGUUGUUAGUUCAUGGAUAAUUUCGGGCCAAGUGUCCAUCUCGAUCAAAGAAGGAAGAUGCCCAAUGUGUGUUCUAGCAAUCUUUCUCUCUUCUGUACCCAUGUAAUCCUACCACAGUUUCAGGUAAUCGUCGGGUUUGGUGACCAUCUUGAACUUUCCACGAGAAUGCAAUUGAGCCAUACCUACAUAAAAGAAGACAAAAUAAGCCUUUCCCCGACCCCAAAGGAUAAUGGAUUGAAUUUAGAGAAACAUAUAUUUCUUUAACACAUAAGCAUGGUUGGUCUGUGAUUGACUCGGGGUCAAAUAGAUAUAGGGUAGGUUUUCUAAUAGGCCCAACACCCCGCUCGGAUAUUGGGUCGUCCUAGGCACAUGCCUAAAAUAGAGUUUUGGUUUCGUUCUAUCUUCGGUGUCUAGAGUGGGCUUGGACACUGGUUCUCAAGCGGACAACUUGAGUUUGAAAAUACGAACAGCGUCAGACGACUCACGUGCUGAUAAGUUGUUCGUAUUUCCAACAUAUUUUGGAAUUGAACAACAAGGGUCAGGACAUCCACGAAACCCCAAAACAGUUUAUAAGAUGCAGGAAAUGCCAUAAGAUGCGAUAAUUAAACUUUACAUAAUCGAAACACAUAAACACAUAAAUAGUUAAUCAAAGAUGAAAUAAAAUAUUUGAUUAGAACCUAGUUAGAUCCCCAGCAGAGUCGCCAUUUCUGUUUUGCGAAAAUUUUGACUUUUGAAGAGAAUCGCCACUUAAUUUUGAAAAGGAAUUAAGAAACCUUUAGAGAGUUACUUCAAACGAUUCAAAAUAGUAAAAUCGUUUUAAGUUAGAGAUUCUAGAUAAGAGGUUCCUAUUAAUGUUUUAGAAAAGUUUUAGGCACCUAAAACGUCCGCUAACUUGCGGUUAUCCGGACUGUUUAAAAAUCGUCUUUUGAUUAACUUCAAAAAGAUUAAUUUAUUGAAAUAGUGAUUUGAUUUUUUCAAAAAAAAAAAGACGCGUAAAAUAGAUUUAGGUGACUUAGUAGGGAUUUUAACUAAGUCUAAACAAAACUAAUAAACAAAUAAACACAUAAAAGGAGAAGGGAGGAGAAAGUAAAGGAUUUAGUCCAUUAGGCCGAAAUCAACGAGACCUGUCCUAAUCUAGUUGGGUCUCCAGCCCAUUUCACCUGUCCUAAACUAUUUUUCGAGCCUUUGGCUCGAGUAUUGCCCCACCUAUAUUAAAUACAACUUUGGCUUCGAGGACGAAAUAAAUAAAUAAAUAAAUGACUAAAUGAAUAAAUAAAAAGAAGACAAUAAUAAAAAUUGAGACUUUUCAAGUCUUUUAGUGACCUCAUCAAUGGGUUUUGACCCAUUUUCCUUCUUUGUCUAUCUUCUAGCACCCGCACGCCAUAUAGUGGACCUUGGGUUUAAACUUCAAACUUGACUUGAAGGGGUGAGCCUUAUUUACCCAUUACGAAAUGCAGGAAAAGAGGAGUCCAGUUAGACUCGAGAUAUUUUUUGCAUACAAAGAAAAGAUAAAGAAAUUAAUAUAUGUUCAAGGCAUAAAAGUGACAUAUUUCAAAGUAAAAUAAACUAUCAAGAACCAAUUUUUGAAUGACAAUGAUAAGCACACUUGCACAAGAAUGAGAGUCAACAAAUAAAAAAUGCAAACCAAAAGUUUCACAAUCAUACUAUGCAUGAGUCAAAAAUAUCUAAAUAAUUUUAUUUAGCCACAAAAGUUCGAACUUUCUUAUCAUUUUGAAAAGACAACAUGCGAACAAAGAAGAAUANNNNNNNNNNNNNNNNNNNNNNNNNNNNNNNNNNNNNNNNNNNNNNNNNNNNNNNNNNNNNNNNNNNNNNNNNNNNNNNNNNNNNNNNNNNNNNNNNNNNNNNNNNNNNNNNNNNNNNNNNNNNNNNNNNNNNNNNNNNNNNNNNNNNNNNNNNNNNNNNNNNNNNNNNNNNNNNNNNNNNNNNNNNNNNNNNNNNNNNNNNNNNNNNNNNNNNNNNNNNNNNNNNNNNNNNNNNNNNNNNNNNNNNNNNNNNNNNNNNNNNNNNNNNNNNNNNNNNNNNNNAAAUAAUCAAAGAAUAAGGUGAAAAGGCAAAACAUUCAACAUUAACUAUUCUUCUAAACAUAAAGAUAAUAACUUUACAUACUAAAAACAAAGGUAUCCAACAACAAUGAGUUUAAAAAAAGCAUAAAUACAUCUUUUAAGCAAAGAUUGAAACUUUAUCUAAAAUAAUCAAAGAAUAAUGUCAAAAAAGGCACAUACAACUAUUGCUAGCUCAUUUUUAUAUCAUGAACAUGAAAAUAAUUAGAAUAUCAAUUCCACAACAUCCUAGGGCCUUCAAGGUCAUCUAUAACAUUCAAUCCCAACAAAUAAAAUUAUAUCUAUGAACUACGAAGAAGAAAAAAGAUGAAGAGAAAAACGAUAAUAAAAACUAAAAUAAUAAAAAAAAAAAAAAAAGAGAAAAAAAAGGUGUUUUUACCUUUUGGGGGCAGCAAAACAAAACUACGAGUUUCGUUGGAAUCAACCACCACCGAAAAACAUCGCCGGCAACUCAAAAAUUUUGAUUAGCCGAUCAACAUUAUGAAACAAAAAUUUUUACUAAAUAAAAAUAACUAUUUUUGUUCAAAAGGAUUUUCUUUCCCCUUUCUAGCCUUUUUUUUCUUCCUUCUCCUUCCUCUCUCUACCAAAGUAGUGGUAGUAUUUAUAGGAGAGAAUGGGGUAUUUUUUUUUCCUUUUCCACCAAUGUGGGAGAAAAGUAUUUAUAGAAAAGGAUAGAGAUUUAUUUCUUGUCAUCUAUCAAUGUAGGAGAAAAAGCAUUUAGGGGAGUUUUUGGAAUAUAAAAGUUAAAGAUAAGGUGAGGCGGAAGAUAAUGUGGGGAGAAAUAGUACAAUGUAGUACAAUCUUUGAAUUUCAAAAUUGCAAAAGGAUAAAGUUGGGGGAAAUAGUACAAUUUGACUUUAUUUUUUGGUGGGAAUUGGGUAAAAAUUAUGAGAGUUUUUGAGAAUUUUGGUGUUAUUUAAAAUAUAACCCCAAUUGGAAUUUAAAAUUUAGCCAUAUUUAUUUAUUUUGACCAAAUUAAAAAUUAAUUGACGAAUUACAUUGCAAUUAUGACCAAUUUUUAAUUAUGGUCAAAUCUAAUAGAUUGGCUAAAUUAAAUUAAAAUUCGAUAAGAAUUAAUACCUUUUUUUUAAUCCCGAGCUUCUUGAUUUAAUAAAAUGAAUGCAUAUUUAUCCAAAUAAAUUAUUUUUGAGAAUAAAUUAUAUUUAAAUUAAGAUUUUAAUCAUUUGAAUUUAUUUUCAAGAUAAGCCUUAAUUAAAUCCAAUAUUUUGUAAAAUAAAUAUUUAAGUAACAAAUUAUAUAAUCUCUUAUAACUGAACACGAUAGUAUAUAAUCGCUACUUAAAAUGAUAAAAUCACGUACGAAAAAUAUUUUAAGUUUUUUUCUUUUAUUUGGAUGAAAUAAUUAUUUUGGUUUAUUAAAAACUGAAGAAACUUAAGAUUAAAUUUAGUCGUAGAGAUCAAAAAUUAGGUGUCAACAAUGUCCAAUGGAGUCAUCGCCUUCCUAGUUAACCACCUCUUUUUCCCCUAGAUUAGGCUUCUUUGAUUCUCGAACUCUUUGACUCUUCUGUUGACUGCUCUAAGGCUACCAUUAUUUUGCUUCUUGACAUGACAUGACAAUGGCAGGUUUUAAGUUACUGUUAUACAACGGGCGAUGAGUCAUGAGUGGAGUGGAGGUCCAAUUCAAUAAUGUUUCCUCCAAUUAAUCUUCCAUGAUUCCUAUUGUCUUGAAAAAUUCUUCCCUCACAUUUUUCCUUAUUCCAUCCUCAAAACUAUCGCUUACAGCUUUGAAAAAUGAUUGGUAGAAUCUAGUUUUACUACUAGUCAUUUUUCUUUUCCUGUAACAAAGCUAUAGUCAAGAAGCGAAUCUCUCAUUCAUUUUUAUCUGGUGAAGUAGGGUCAUUUUGUGCCAACACAGAGUAGUUUAUAUUACCUGCAAAGUAAAAAUAACUCAAACGAUGACGUGUUAGAUUCUGUUAGUAAUAAGUAAAGCAAAAUGAUAACGUAGGAAGUAAACACAUAGAGUUGUUUCUCAUCUCAUGCGAAUUGAUCCAUGAAAUAAUAAUGACUCGAGGAGUUCAAUGAACAAGAUUUUGCUCAAUGAUAUGAAUAGGUGGAAUUUGUCGAGAAGGUUCAACUCUUCUUCUUCCUUCAAGAAAGUGGAGGACAACAGAGCUUUUGGAGAUAUGGGUCGGGCUGAAAGACUGCCUACGUAUCUCGCAGAUGAGAAAUCAGGCCCUACGCAGUUCAAAACUAGAACAGUUUUUUUUAUUCUAAAGUCAACUUUCCUAAAAUGGUAGCGAUCAUUUUGAAAGUUUUAAGAAUGACUACGGACUUUUCUAAGAAAUUUAGGAGACUUGGAGUACUUUUAGUCAGACUUUUGUAUAGUAAGGUAUAUUUCUGCCUAGAGAUAUUCUAUGGAAAAUGGGAUUAGAUUAGUUCACCUUUGAUUCGAAUAAACAUAACACGUAUAAGCAUAUAAAUAGUUAUAUUACACAAGCAUAUUGUAAUAAUCGUGCAUCCUAAUUAGGUGACCCUUUUGAGCCAAGGAUUUGGGCCUAACAAAUUUUGAAGAAAAAAUAUAUGUUUGCUUAAGGUCAAUCCAUUAUCCCCAAACUUUUAUAGACACUAAAAGGGCAUAAAUGCCUACAAAAGAUGACGAAAGAGGGAAACAAUCUUUAGGGAAAGGGAAAUAACAUGAAAAAAGAUACGUUCCCACACGGGAUAAAAAAUACUAAUUCCUGAGUGCUACUUCUAUCAGUCUUCCCCUUCUUAGCUUCAUCCAUUUCUUAUAUUGGUGACAUACAUUGAUGUUCAAACUGUACCUUAAAUGCAACCUCCCAAAUAGUUCAAUUUUUUGCUUAACUUGCUUCAAUUCUUCUUACAAAAGUAAGCAAAUCAAGUUAUUUCCCAACUCCCAAAAGAUAAUGGGCUGAAAUAGACAAGCAUACAUUUUCUUCUACACAUAAAUAUGGUUCGUCUAUAAUUGACUCGGAGUCAAUAGACGCAGGGCAGGUUUUCUAAUGGGCCCAAUACCUCGCUUGGGUAUUGGAUCAUCUGUAACAACCCGUAUUCAAGUAAUAUAUUGGCGUAUUCAAGUACGUGUAUUGGUCUUAUUUAUAUGAAAUUAAUUUUAUUUUAUUUUAUUUAUACCGGAAUUUGCCCGUCGAUGGUUCCAUACGAAGGUUAUUGAAUAAGCUUUCCAACGAUAUAAAGAUUUCCAAAAACGAAUAGGUUUCGGAUAUAAUCGAGCACGUUCGAAACUAUAAAACGGUGGCCGGGAUAUUGGGAAUAGUAAAUGUGCAGGAAAAUUUCCUGCACACAAACUACUGAGGUCAGCCAUUUUUUUGGGUCAACUUUGAACGAUCAUAACUACCUUAAUAUAAUGAACUGGGAGAGCUUCCACCUAUGAAAAGAAAGAUCUUUGAGUCUUCUUUCCAAUGCAAUUGGUUUCAUCCAAAUCCGACAUCUGAGUAAUGAGUUAUACUCGUUUUACUUCAGCCUCUCAAAACAGAUUUUUAAGAUCAACUUCAAACAAUCAUAACUCCUUGUACAGGACGAACUGGGUGGCCUAAUUUAUAUGAAAUGAAAUCCCUUUGAAUUAUCUUUCCAACGAUACCAAUUUCACCCAAAUAUGAUAUCGGAGGAAAGAGUUAUGGUCGAUUUACUUUAGCCUAUCAAAACAGUCCACCAUGGACAGAUUCGGAUUUACUUAAAUUUUAAGGGCAAUAUGGUCAUUUUCCAUCACCUCAUGGACGAAAAUUGGUCAUUAUAUACAUAUACUUAGCCUCAUAUCCAUCAUUUAUCAUCCAAAUUAUUGAAGAAUAAGAAACCCUAGCCUAAGUUCAACUCCAAUUAUCUUGUGAUUCAACCGUAGAAAAUCCAAAUUGAUUCCGUAGUUGUGUUCACCGUCUCGAGGGCUUCGAGAAGCACCCCUUAUUUGUGCCAACAGGACUUCGAAAUCAAAAGGGCCAUUUUAUAGUAAGGAUGUCAAUUAUGUUGGUGUUAUUUAUAUGGAUAUGUAUAUAUAUAUAUAUAUGCAUGUGCGCAUAAGAAGUAUGUUAUUUGAUUGUUGUUGAAAGAUGAUUGAAAAUGAUGUUGGAUUAUUCUUGUGCAUAGUUGGAUUAUGUUGAAUUGUGAAGGAAUUUGGUGUGAUGAUAUGGUAUUGAAAUGAUGAUUAUAUAUAUAUAUAUACACCUAAACCGAUUGUUCAAGUUAAUUUUUGAAAUGCUUUGCAAAUAUUGAUUGUAUGGAAUUAUGGAAGAGAAUUGUGGUGUUGGGUUGCUAAUACUAGAUGCCAAACAUUUCAUUGUAGAUAAGUGAUUUAUAAAGGCGGGAAGUUGUGUUGAAUUAGUAUCCGAAUCUACAACGAGGUAUGUAAAGCAUACUCUAACGAUGUUCUUUGGCAUGAAAACACCAAUGUUCCAUCAAGUAAGAUUCCGAGGUUGUCCAAAAACAUGUAUUGUUCUACAUUACCAACGAAGUUGUUUCCAUUCUAUAAAGUGUCAAAAUGUUUCAUUGAUAUACCGAAAGGCUCCUAUUUCAUUGUUGUGAUAUUGAUGAUUCCGAAACACAUUGUUGAUGUACCAAUGAGUCUUUAUUACAUCGUUAUUGUAUAGAAAGUCUAUUACUUGGUUCCUAUUGAUGUAUCAUUAUUCCAAAGGUACUAUAUUGGCAUGAACACUAAUGUAAUAAUCUCAAAAGCUUUUGAACUAAGUUAUUGGAAAGAUCUCUUAUGUGUGUUACUUGAUAUACGUGUGGGUGGUAGCUCAGGGGCUUAAGCCUAGCAUGGGCCGAUCCCGAUAUUUGAUAUGAUUACAGUUGAUAUGUACUGGGGGCAGCCUAAUGGUCACAGUACGGUACAGUAUUGAUUAUUGUUAGGUGGUUGGAGGUUCGGGAGGAGGAGGUAAUGGCGAAUGAUAAUUGUAAAGAAUGAAAUGAACGAAUGUAUACCGUUCCACAAAUGUGUUUGAAUUCAAGAACCCAAUUCAGAUUAAUGAUAAGAUAAUGUACAUGAUCCUAAAAGUGUUUAUGAAGUGUGGUUCACUUCUAUUAUGAUUUAUUCACUUGCGUCUGAUUUUCUUGAUCCCCCAUACCACAUAUGAUUAUUUACAGCUUUACAUACUCAGUACAUAUUUCGUACUGACGUCCCUCACGGGGGACCUGCAUUUCAUGCUGCAGGCACAGGUGCUUCAGCUCAUUCACAGCAUAGAUAGGAGCCAGGUCAUACAUCUAUUGUUGGUGAGCUCCAAUUUGCUUCGGAGCUUUCCGAGUCGGUCCCUUAUGUUUUCUUAUUGUACAGGAGUCAUGUGUCGGCGAGGGUUUGUCCCGACCCUAAUUAUGUCAUGUAUAUCCUAGAGGCUUUGUAGACAUAAGAAAGGGUAAAGUCAUGGAAGUUCAUAUAGUGAUGUUAUAUUUUUAUAUGUGGUGGCCCCGACGGCCAAGUAUUAUAUACAUAUAUAUUUGUGCGUGUUGUGCUGAUACAGGUAAUUAGACCCUUCUAUAUGCAACGAAGUGCUGGCCAAAUUUUUGGUGACAUGAAAGUGAAAGUACAGGUAUUUAAACGGGUUCUCCCGGGCCUUCUCGGCUUCGGGUGCCAGUCCGGCCCNNNNNNNNNNNNNNNNNNNNNNNNNNNNNNNNNNNNNNNNNNNNNNNNNNNNNNNNNNNNUUGUGUGUGUUGUGCUGAUACAGGUAAUUAGACUCUUCUAUAUGCAACGAAGUGCUGUCCAAAUUUUUAGUGACAUGUAAGUGAAGGUACAGGUAUUUGAACGGAUUCUUCCGGGCCUUCUCGGCUUCGGGUGCCAGUCCGGCCCGAUAGGAUUUUGGGGCGUGACAUCAUCCUAGGCUUAUGCCUAAUAUAGGACUUUGGUUUCAUUCUAUCCUAAAUGUCUAGAGUAGGUUUGAACAUUGGUUCUCAAGCGGACAACUUGAGUUUGAAAAUACGAACAGCCAUUAGACGACUCAUGUGCUAAUAAGCCGUUCGCAUUUCCAACACAUUUUGAAAUUGAACAACGGGGGCCAGGACAUCCACGAAACCCCAAAACAGUUUAAAUAAUGCAGGAAUAUGCCAUGAGAUGCGAUAGUUAAACUUUACAGAAUCGAAACAUAUAAACACAUAAACAGUUAAUCAAAAGACGAAAUCAAACAUUUGGUUAGAACCUAGUUACAAAUCCCUAGCAGAGUCGUCAUUUCUGUUUUGUUGAGAAAUUUAGACUUUUUGAGAAGAGUCGCCACUUAAUUUUGAAGAAAAAUUAAAAAAACCUUUAUAGAAUUACUUCAAAUGAUUCAAAACAGAAAAAUCAUUUUAAAUUAGAAAUUCUAGAUAAGCGGCUCCUAUUAACGUUUUAAGAAGAUGUUAGGCAACUAAAAUGUCCGCAAACUUGCAGUUAUUCGGACUAUUUGAAAACAUCUUUUGAUUAACUUCCGAAAAGAUUAAUUUGUUGAAAUAGUGAUUUGAUUUAAAAAAAAAAGAUUUGUGUAAAAUAGAUUUAGGCGACUUAAUAGAGAUUUUAACUAAGUCUAAACAAAACUAAUAAACAAAUAAACACAUAAAAGGGGAAGUGAGGAGAAAGUAAAGGAUUUAGGCCAUUGAGCCCAAAUCAACUAGACCUAUCCUAGUCUAGUUGAGAUUCCGACCCAUUUCACCUGUCCUAAACUAUUUUUCGAGCCUUUGGCUCGAGUCUUGCUCCACCUAUAUUAAAUACAACUUUGGCUUCGAGACCGAAAUAAAUGAAUAAAUAAAUGACUAAAUGAAUGAAUAAAAAGAAGACUAAUAAAAAUUGAGACUUUUCAAGUCUCUUAAUGACCUUGUCAAUGGAUUUUGACCCAUUUUCCUUCUUCGUCUAUCUUCUAGCACCCGCAUGCCAUGUACUGAACCUCGGGUUUAAACUUCGAACUUGACUCGAAGGGGUAGACCUCAUUGGCCCAUUACGGAAAUGCAAAAUGAGAGGAAUCCAUUUGGACUCGAGACAUUUUUUUUUUGCAUGCAAAGAAAAGAUAAAGAAAUUAAUAUACGUUCAAGGCAUAAAAGUGACAUAUUUCAAAGCAAAAGAAAAUAUCAAGAACCAAUUUUGAAUGAUAAGCACACUUGCACAAAAAAAAGAGUCAACAAAUAAAAUGCAAAGCAAAGACACCCACUUACAUGCCUCAUGAUUUAUGUUCAUACAAGAAUGAAUAAAGGUAAAAGAAAGAAGGCCAUAUUCAAUAAAUUAAUGCAAGAAACAAACAACGUAAGCUUGCGAAAGUAAAAGGAUAAGGCAACGAGGAAAAUACUCAUGACUUCUAAAAUUGAACAAACAUAGAUACCAAUCCAUAUAACCAAAGAAAAUAAAGGUUAACUUUUCAAGCAAGAGAAUCUUUAAAUUUCAAUUAAGGUGACAUUAACGAAAAUUCAUACAUCUAAAUUCUUUUAUAUUAUGAAUCAAUGAGAGACACGAAUCAAGUCUUUACACUCACAAAGAGCACAUAUGAUAAUCCAAAGGGCGCAAGAAAAUUAGAAUAAAAUUUAGCAUUUCUAAAAGUGAAAUAUUGUUUCACAAUCAUAAAAUGCAUGACUCAAAAAUAUCUAAAUAAUUCUAUUUAGCCACAAAAAUUUGAACUUUCUCAUCAUNNN
rnacentral:lncRNA from 1 species